UCCAGGGUAGCCUAGUGGACAUGGCAUCUGCCCGGUAAGCGGAACACUGUGGGUUCGAUUCCCAUCCCUGAAC